GGAUGAGAUCAUACCAGCACUAAAGCACCGGAUCCCAUCAGAACUCUGAAGUUAAGCGUGCUUGGGCGAGAGUAGUACUAGGAUGGGUGACCUCCUGGGAAGUCCUCGUGUUGCAUUCC
rnacentral:rRNA from 1 species